rnacentral:rRNA from 1 species
UACGUAGGUGGCAAGCGUUAUCCGGAUUUACUGGGUGUAAAGGGCGUGUAGGCGGGAAUGCAAGUCAGAUGUGAAAACUCAGGGCUCAACCCUGAGCCUGCAUUUGAAACUGUGUUUCUUGAGUGCUGGAGAGGCAAUCGGAAUUCCGUGUGUAGCGGUGAAAUGCGUAGAUAUACGGAGGAACACCAGUGGCGAAGGCGGAUUGCUGGACAGUAACUGACGCUGAGGCGCGAAAGCGUGGGGAGCAAACAGG